rnacentral:rRNA from 1 species
AGAGUUUGAUCAUGGCUCAGAAUCAACGCUGGCGGCCNCUUAACACAUGCAAGUCGAACGAGAAAGGGGAGCAAUCCCUGAGUAAAGUGGCGUACGGGUGAGUAACACGUGGGUAAUCUACCUCUGGGUGGGGAAUAACGCUGGGAAACCGGCGCUAAUACCGCAUAACACUGAAAGGUCAAAGGCGCAAGUCGCCUGGAGAGGAGCCCGCGGCUGAUUAGCUAGUUGGUGGGGUAAAGGCUCACCAAGGCUUUGAUCGGUAGCCGGCCUGAGAGGGCACACGGCCACACUGGCACUGAAACACGGGCCAGACUCCUACGGGAGGCAGCAGUGGGGAAUCUUGCACAAUGGGGGCAACCCUGAUGCAGCGACGCCGCGUGAGCGAUGAAGCCCUUCGGGGUGUAAAGCUCUUUCGGCAGGGACGAUAAUGACGGUACCUGAAGAAGAAGCUGCGGCUAACUACGUGCCAGCAGCCGCGGUAAUACGUAGGCAGCGAGCGUUGUUCGGAGUUACUGGGCGUAAAGAGUGCGUAGGCGGUUUUCUAAGUUUGGUGUGAAAUCUCCCGGCUUAACUGGGAGGGUGCGCCGAAAACUGGAAAGCUGGAGUGUGGGAGAGGUAAGCGGAAUUCCUGGUGUAGCGGUGAAAUGCGUAGAUAUCAGGAGGNNNCCUGCGGUGUAGACGGCUUACUGGACCAUAACUGACGCUGAGGCACGAAAGCGUGGGUAGCAAACAGGAUUAGAUACCCUAGUAGUCC